GUGCUUGCUUCAGCAGCACAUACAGUAAAAUUAGAACAAUAUAAAGAAGAUUAGCAUGGCUCCUGUGCAAGGGCAACAUGGCCCCUAAGAUUUGUUCUAGUUUACU
ensembl:snRNA U6 U6 spliceosomal RNA